ensembl:rRNA 5S_rRNA 5S ribosomal RNA
GCUUACGGCCAUACCAGCCCAAGAACGCCCGGUCUCGUCUGAUCUCGGAAGCUAAGAAGGCUUGGGCCUAGUUAGUACUUGGAUGUAAAACCUCCUGGGAAUCCAGGUUCUGUAAGCU